AUACGGAGGGUGCAAGCGUUGUCCGGAUUUAUUGGGUUUAAAGGGUGCGUAGGUGGUUUUUUAGGUCAGUGGUGAAAACCUACAGCUUAACUGUAGAGGUGCCAUUGAUACUGGGGAACUUGAGUAUGGACGAGGUAGGCGGAAUUUGUGGUGUAGCGGUGAAAUGCAUAGAUACCACAAGGAACACCGAUAGCGAAGGCAGCUUACUGGGCCAUAACUGACACUGAGGCACGAAAGCGUGGGGAGCGAACAGGAUUAGAAACCCUAGUAGUCC
rnacentral:rRNA from 1 species